GCCGGGCUAGCUCAAUCGGGAGAGCUUAAGACUCUUAAUCUUAAGGUUGCGGGUUCGACCCCCGCGUUCGGCU
rnacentral:tRNA from 1 species